UCACCGUCUUAAAGCAAUCUUCUCUUACUGGUUCAUAGAAUUUGGCUUGAUUUUUCGCCUUUACCGUUUCAAACAGUAAAUCAUUGGGAGAGUAAAUAUCACCUUCUUCUACGGAGGCUGAUAAAUAUGAUGGAAUAUUUGAGCGAACUCUUCUCUGAAAUCCUACAUUUGAAGAUGCUUCAGAAUUUCUCUCAUUAAAUUUUCGAUUGUCCGAAAACCCUCUUCGCGUAGAGUUAUUAGAUUGUAUGAGAUUGCAUAAAAUAAAUCCUCUGUUUGGAGCUGGAGAAAAUAUUCGUCUCCCAAGCAUUUUUCUCCCGUGCUGUUGUCAAAGUAAUAUUUCAAUGUUUGAAGGUGUUUAGUGA